ACCUUCGGGCCUCUUGCCAUCAGAUGUGCCCAGAUGGGAUUAGCUUGUUGGUGAGGUAACGGCUCACCAAGGCGACGAUCCCUAGCUGGUCUGAGAGGAUGACCAGCCACACUGGAACUGAGACACGGUCCAGACUCCUACGGGAGGCAGCAGUGGGGAAUAUUGCACAAUGGGCGCAAGCCUGAUGCAGCCAUGCCGCGUGUAUGAAGAAGGCCUUCGGGUUGUAAAGUACUUUCAGCGGGGAGGAAGGUGUUGUGGUUAAUAACCGCAGCAAUUGACGUUACCCGCAGAAGAAGCACCGGCUAACUCCGUGCCAGCAGCCGCGGUAAUACGGAGGGUGCAAGCGUUAAUCGGAAUUACUGGGCGUAAAGCGCACGCAGGCGGUCUGUCAAGUCGGAUGUGAAAUCCCCGGGCUCAACCUGGGAACUGCAUUCGAAACUGGCAGGCUUGAGUCUUGUAGAGGGGGGUAGAAUUCCAGGUGUAGCGGUGAAAUGCGUAGAGAUCUGGAGGAAUACCGGUGGCGAAGGCGGCCCCCUGGACAAAGACUGACGCUCAGGUGCGAAAGCGUGGGGAGCAAACAGG
rnacentral:rRNA from 1 species